AGCCCAGGUCCACCACAAGUCCCGCUGCCCACCCCCCGCCUCCAAUGACCGGAAAAAAAACCAUCAUUUCGAGUGAUCUGCAGCGCCAUCAACAAAGACGAGAGCUCAUGGCGACGGCGGCAAUGGACAUCAGAUCCGGUGGACAGGUUCCCCUUGCUGGAUCUUGCAUCUAGCGAUUUCGCGCCGGCCGGUGAGCCAGAGUCAGCUUCUGAAUCGAGCAUGGGAGAUGUGGGCGACGCGCCGCUUACAAUCCAGUUGGCCAUGAACAACGGCUGCGAGCGCUGAGCUUGUCGGCGACCGAUUCGCAACAAUCAACGGGAAAAGACGACCCUCCAGCCUCCGGGUGGACAAAAAGGGUUCAUAUUGGGCGAGCCCCUAUCGAGCGUGCACCUUGUGCUGGAAGAGUAUGUGCCCUUGAAAAAAACAUUAAGAGGAUAUGCAGAGAAGAAAACUGAUACCGUAGUGGUACCAUCUGUUGGAUACAACUUCGAUUCAUUGGGAGAGCCAUACGACCUCCACAACCUAUGUUCGUGGGAAAUUGGAUUCGAAAUAAGAUACGAAAAAAGUAGGCUCAACGUCAAGAGAACCAAAUGUAUGCAGGAGAUAGUAUGUGGAUACUCGGGCAAACCAAAAAGAGGAAAUACACGCACAUGCCGCUGUGAGUGCCCUGCGUACAUAACUGAGCACAGGCCAUCACACAAUCAUGCUUUGACAGAUAAAUGUGGUGAAAAGGUGUACUGACCUUCACAUAAAAAUAUCCAUCUAUAUACAAGAGACCUUGUUAAACAACUUAGAGAGAACAAUAUCAACAUUCGAAAAGUUUACAAUAUAAUUGGUAGUUUCUUCGGUUCAAAUGAAUAAUGUGCCCUUGAGCUGUAUGCAAGCAGCAAGCAUCUCAAGUAGUAGCACUGAAUUUCUACUAUUUCCCCCUUGUAUCCUGACUGCUCACUGCCAGCCCCCUGAUAUACAUUAUGUAUUGUCAGCUUAGUAAUAUGUAUUUGUCUGAACCCUGAGCUGUCUAGAUGCAUUGUUUAAAACUAAUUUUGUGCUGCUGUAACAAAGAUCUCAUAUUAAUCUUAGUGUGCUACUGAUGACAUGUUCAUCUACUAUCCAUUAGUCAGGCAUAUAUCUCCACUUAUAUGUCCUGUUUUCGUGUUAAUUUUUCCUGAAAUGUUGAACCAUGAUUCAUCUAUGCAAGCUGCAAGCAUUUCAAGUAUCA